rnacentral:rRNA from 1 species
UACGAAGGGGGGCUAGCGUUGCUCGGAAUCACUGGGCGUAAAGGGUGCGUAGGCGGGUCUUUAAGUCAGGGGUGAAAUCCUGGAGCUCAACUCCAGAACUGCCCUUCGAUACUGGCGAUCUCGAGUUCGGGAGAGGUGAGUGGAACUGCGAGUGUAGAGGUGAAAUUCGUAGAUAUUCGCAAGAACACCAGUGGCGAAGGCGGCUCACUGGCCCGAUACUGACGCUGAGGUGCGAAAGCGUGGGGAGCAAACAGG